UGGAGGGCAAGUCUGGUGCCAGCAGCCGCGGUAAUUCCAGCUCCAAUAGCGUAUAUUAAAGUUGUUGUGGUUAAAAAGCUCGUAGUUGAACCUUGGGCCUGGCUGGCCGGUCCGCCUCACCGCGUGUACUGGUCCGGCCGGGCCUUUCCCUCUAUGGAACCCCAUGCCCUUCACUGGGUGUGGCGGGGAAAUAGGACUUUUACUUUGAAAAAAUUAGAGUGCUCCAGGCAGGCCUAUGCUCGAAUACAUUAGCAUGGAAUAAUAAAAUAGGACGUGUGGUUCUAUUUUGUUGGUUUCUAGGACCGCCGUAAUGAUUAAUAGGGACAGUCGGGGGCAUCAGUAUUCAAUUGUCAGAGGUGAAAUUCUUAGAUUUAUUGAAGACUAACUACUGCGAAAGCAUUUGCCAAGGAUGUUUUCAUUAAUCAGGAACGAAAGUUAGGGGAUCGAAGACGAUCAGAUACCGUCGUAGUCUUAACCAUAAACUAUGCCGACUAGGGAUCGGGCGAUGUUAUUCUUUGACUCGUUCGGCACCUUACGGGAAAC
rnacentral:rRNA from 1 species